GUCCUUUGUCGGAAGCUGGUUUCCCAGGUAGCCUGUGUCGGAUAUAGAAACUUUCCAAGGUGAAAUCUAGUUGAAAACUCUUACUUUCAAUCAGUCUUGAGCGGGAUUGUCAGACCCCAGGCCAAGUUGUAUUGCUGUGUGAUCGCUUGCCCUCCCCCACGAUACACUCCGGCCAAGAUGUGGUCGGUCACGAGGUCUCAGUAGAGGCUGAAUCAAUGGAGCUUCCCAAUCUUGGGCCUUGUACUGCCCAAGUUCUGUGUUAAAAAGAAACCUCUUGUGUUUAAAAAUAACCUGCGUAGGAACUUUCUGAACUUUCUGGAAGGAAUGAUAAAGGGCAGAAAGGUUCCCACUCUACAGAUAUGUCGGUGUUUGUGGGUGCCGUGAACGAGCCAGAUCUUCCCAGGCAACAGCAACAUGCGCCGUUCCCCUAACCACAUCUUCUUCCUCCCUGAGAAUCCGUUCAUUUUGGCUCAGUUGUAAUCUGCUUACUUCAGCUCGUUUUCUCUCUUCCUUAUCUUCAUUUUUAAUUUUUCCUAAUCUCUUCAAGUCCGCAUAUCUGAUACAUUUAUGUAUCAUGACUGAAGUGGGCACUUACAGUAAGCCAGUUGGUUUGUACUUUAAAGAAACCACAGCACUUAAUUUACCAGAAAAGAAACUCCGGGGUGGUUUAAGGUUUUAGUUUUGCUUUGUUUUGUUUUGAGUUUUGUUUUGUUUUGCUCUUUUGUUUUUGGUUUUGUUUUUAGGCUAAGGGGCUCUUGCAACUUAACGUUGGAGUUAGAGUAUAUAAAUGACAACAUUAUAUGUGUGUCUGUGUGACAAAACACAUUUUUAAAUAGGUAAUGGCGCCGAAGGAAGCAACCUAGUGAAAACGCUGCCUUUGUGCUACCAUGUUACCACCAAAUGUAGUGAGAGUCACCGAACUUAAGGCCUAAACUGAACUUAAAGCUCCUAAACUUACCUUAGUUCUAUUCUAGCAUUCCAAUAGCCUUUCCAGCAGUGCAUAGGUUUCCAAUAGCAGCCAAGAGCAGCUGUGGACUUCAGAGUUAUUGGCACAAAGAAGGACCAAGAAACUAAGGGUGGCCAGCCAAAUGCUGAAGACCACCGGCCAGCAGAGCCUACACACAGCAGACAGAUGGGGCUCUCAGGAGGGAAAAAGAAGUCCAGGAAAUAUUAAGAAUUGCUCAGUGAAGACCUGGGAUGCUGAGAGCCCUUCCAGUGCCCUUCCACUGUUCUCAACAGCAAACGGUUAAGGCUGUCUCUGGAGCUCAAGCAAUGAUCCAGGGAACAACAUGUGAGAGCUACAGCGGAUGGUCUCAGGAUGUUAAACAGAAGCAAAGACGACAAGAGCCUUGUCACUCGAGCAAAGGAUCAGAUACCAGCCCUGUAUUAAAACAGAGCGAUGAGAACAUCUGAGCCACCUUUCUGUUUGCUCACAAACCAUCUGCAAAGAAGUAACAGGAAAUAGCAGGAUGCAGAAGACAAAAGUUGCCCCAUACUUGAAGGAUGCCACUGAACAAAACCAAG
ensembl:lncRNA